UGACAUAGCACAACUGGCAGUGCAGCUGAUUUGUAAUCAGCAGGUUGCAGGUUCGAUUCCUGUUGUCA
rnacentral:tRNA from 1 species